rnacentral:rRNA from 1 species
AUUGAACGCUGGCGGCGUGCUUUACACAUGCAAGUCGAGCGGCAGCAUGGGGGCAACCCUGAUGGCAAGCGGCGAACGGGUGAGUAAUACAUCGGAACGUACCCAGUAAUGGGGGAUAACUAUCCGAAAGGAUAGCUAAUACCGCAUACGCCCUACGGGGGAAAGAGGGGGAUCGCAAGACCUCUUGUUAUUGGAGCGGCCGAUGGCUGAUUAGCUAGUUGGUGGGGUAAAGGCCUACCAAGGCAACGAUCAGUAGCGGGUCUUAGAGGACGAUCCGCCACACUGGAACUGAGACACGGUCCAGACUCCUACGGGAGGCAGCAGUGGGGAAUCUUGGACAAUGGGCGCAAGCCUGAUCCAGCAAUGCCGCGUGCGUGAAGAAGGCCUUCGGGUUGUAAAGCGCUUUUGUCAGGGAGCAAAUCCUUGUGGCUAAUACCCACCGGGGAUGAGAGUACCUGAAGAAUAAGGACCGGCUAACUACGUGCCAGCCGCCGCUGUAAGAC